ensembl:lncRNA uncharacterized LOC107560632
CUCAUCAGCGCUGUGAAAAGUAACAAUCAUCACGUGACAACGCCGUCUACAUUACCAAUUUCAGUAACGCUCUGAAACAAUAAUUUACACUAGAAAAACGAAACGUGACAUCCUUAAAAUCUGUUACAUUUAAAAUAGAAAGUUAACAGUCACAAUAAUUUUACACCCAUCGUUUCUGACCAAUUAGAGACAUCGUUCGGACCGUUAAUCCCAGCCUGUGUUGGGCUUCGUGAGUCAUGCUAAUAGCCGUUCUAUCCGCUCGGUGUAUUUGUUUCUAUGAGAAAUCAAGAGGGAAAAGGCUGAGUAUGAAGUAAACAGAUGUUCUCAGUGUCUUGAUAACAUUCCAAACCUUUCACAAUCAACAACCACCUAAAUGUUUUUCGCAGUCUGUCAUCUGGCGAGGUCAGCGCGUUUCGGCCGAUGCGGAGGCGUUUUCCAUGAAUCCCUGCUGCACUACAGUAUGUGCAGGAGGCCUACAACUUAACAGUGGGUUGCAAGUUUAGUGGCCUCAAACAGGGAGGAGACCAUGAACCUCAACGAGAAGAAGCCCAACAAGUGGUGGACAGAACCGGACACGUUUGCCAUGCUGGCCCUCAUAGAGCAGAUGGAUCUGGUCCACGAGCUGGAUAAGAAGCGUCAGCGCAACGAAUCCCUCUUCCGACGCCUCAGGCUGAGUCUGGCAAAGCGGGGAAUCCACUUCACUGUCACCCAAAUCCGAAACCGUUGGAAGAGUCUCAAACACAAGUACCGUAAGAUCAAACUGGCCAGCUACCGAAGUCCAGCCGCUCGCCUCUCUGCCAUCGAGUCUUUCCGCUACUUCCAUAUGCUGGAUCACAUGUUGGUGCGCAGACCGAAGACGGGAGGCAGGGAGGACGACCUCACAGAUGCUCACGCCCUGCUAGGACGGUCACUCGUGGACCUGGAUGACCAUGCAGACAGUCCUUGGCCUGAAGGCAUAAUCCCUAAAUCUGAGCCUGAGAGCAUGUCUUCUAAACUUGAACCUGAUGUUGAUGACAGUCUGAAUCCAGAUGACGUGGCUGGUUCUGAGCCUCCAAGCUGGGCUGUAGGACCAGAUGAAGUUAUGACCCUGGGCUUGUCAGGAGAAUACCUCUAUGCAGUGAAGACCGAGCCACCAUCCCUAUGCACUCCCAACAGCACAGAAAGUACAAGAGACGCUGUUGACUUCAGCUACAAUGAUUUCCCAGGAACUUCUGAAGAGACUAGCAGCCUGAUCCUCCAGCAGCUAACCAUCCUGAACCACCGGCUUGGAGAACAGCUGGCCGAGCAGAGAGCCUUCCACUGCAGCAUGCUGGGAAUGAUGGAUCGCCAGAUCCAGGUCCUGGAGCAGCUCUCCAAUUUCACCAGGAACCACCAAUCCAAGCUUGAGACGCCGGACACGGACUCUUCAGUCAGUCCAAAUGUGCAUGAAGCUCAAACGCAGACUUCUGAGCCAUAUCCCACGUUCCUCAUGCCCAAAAGCGAACCAGCAGCUGCUCCUUGGAAGGUCUCCCUCUUGGAAGUCCACAAGAAGUCAACACACAGUGACACUGAGACUCCUCAAACCCCGGAAGGGUGCAAAGCAAACACCUCUAGCCCACCUUCUUUAGAGAUUUCGUCCUCAACCAAGAACGCUAUUGUGCUGAAUGGAUUGUGUAAGCACGAUUGAGUGCUGCUUGAUUGGGACAUUACACAUUCAGUAGGAAGAACAAAAGUCUUUUGUUCUGUAGAUGUUUCAGGUGGUGGUCUGAUCUGAAACAUCUACAUAUGCGUUUUUCAGUUUCAUAGGAAAGUAUUCAGUGCUCUGAUGUUUUAAUCAGUAACACUUUUUGAGAAAUAGAACAAUAGACUCAUUAUUUAUUUACUUUGGUUUGUUUGCCAACUAACACUCGAUGUGAAUCUUAGAUGGUAAGUAACUUAACAGUGACCGUUUCAAAAUUGCAGUUCGGACCAAGGUAGCUUUAUGUCUGUAAUCAUCUUGCAUUAUCUGAGAAAAAAGUGGGUUAUUGGUAAGCUUAAAGUUGUGUAAAAUAUCAGUUUCUUCCAAUUAGGUUUGGGACACACUUUUAAGGCUGAUUUUAACUAAAUAAGGUGUGUUAUGAAUUUCAUCAUCUAAUCUGAACUCCUAUGUGGUUAAGUAUGAACUUAUAAAUCUGUUAAUUUCAAUAACUGCUUGCCUCUUAUUAUAAAGUAAUAUUUCACUGAUAUGUGUCAUAGUAUUUUUGACAUGCUAAAUCAAUCAGCGUUGGGAUGUAACGCCACUAAGUCCAGCAAUCUUACUAGUACAUACAGAAAUUACAUUUAUGUUAAACUAUGGGUAUUGUCAAAAUGUUACUCAAAAGUCAUAAAGUGCUAAAAACAUGCUCGAGUAUAAGAAAGAAAAAAAAAAGUCAAUUUAACAUGUAAUAUCAUACUUAAGUAGGGCAAACUUAUUUUUAUAUGGCUUUGAAAUUGUCACAAUAUCCAGACUAUAUGGGGUCAGUUAGAUGUUUUAAUUAUUUAAAAAUAAGCCUCCUAUGCUCACUUGAUGCUCAUUUGAUAAAAAAAAAAUACAGUAACACGGUAAUAUUGUGAUAUAUCACGGUAAUAUUGUGAUAUAUCACAAUAAACUUAAUAAUGAACUUUACAGUCGUUUGGGUCAGAGACGAAAUCUGAUAAAAAAAAUACAGUAACACGGUAAUAUUGAACUUUACAGUCGUUUGAGUCAGAGAUGAAAUCUGAUUAAAAAAAUACAGUAACACGGUAAUAUUGUGAUAUAUCACAAUAAACUUAAUGAACUUUACAGUCGUUUGGGUCAGAGACGAAAUCUGAUAAAAAAAAUACAGUAACACGGUAAUAUUGUGAUAUAUCACGGUAAUAUUGUGAUAUAUCACAAUAAACUUAAUGCCGGGAUAUCUGUGGAGUCUUUCUUUUUACUAUG